UACGUAGGGGGCGAGCGUUGUCCGGAUUUAUUGGGCGUAAAGAGCUCGUAGGCGGCUUGGCAAGUCGGGUGUGAAACCUCCAGCUCAACCUGGAGACGCCACUCGAUACUGCCAUGCUAGAGUCCGGUAGGGGACCACGGAAUUCCUGGUGUAGCGGUGAAAUGCGCAGAUAUCAGGAGGAACACCGGUGGCGAAGGCGGGUCUCUGGGCCGAGUGACUGACGCUGAGGAGCGAAAGCGUGGGGAGCAAACAGGA
rnacentral:rRNA from 1 species